rnacentral:tRNA from 1 species
AAGACCACUAAUAGAGCUGCUAACUCUAUAAUAAUGUAACAUUUGGUCUUU